rnacentral:rRNA from 1 species
GAUGAACGCUAGCUACAGGCUUAACACAUGCAAGUCGAGGGGAAACGACAUCGAAAGCUUGCUUUUGAUGGGCGUCGACCGGCGCACGGGUGAGUAACGCGUAUCCAACCUGCCCACCACUUGGGGAUAACCUUGCGAAAGUAAGACUAAUACCCAAUGAUAUCUCUAGAAGACAUCUGAAGGAGAUUAAAGAUUUAUCGGUGAUGGAUGGGGAUGCGUCUGAUUAGCUUGUUGGCGGGGUAACGGCCCACCAAGGCGACGAUCAGUAGGGGGUCUGAGAGGAAGGGCCCCCACAUUGGAACUGAGACACGGUCCAAACUCCUACGGGAGGCAGCAGUGAGGAAUAUUGGUCAAUGGGCGAGAGCCUGAACCAGCCAAGUAGCGUGCAGGAUGACGGCCCUAUGGGUUGUAAACUGCUUUUAUAAGGGAAUAAAGUGAGCCUCGUGAGGCUUUUUGCAUGUACCUUAUGAAUAAGGACUGGCUAAUUCCGUGCCAGCCGCCGCCGUAA